GAGACCAAGCAUCUAAAUGGAGUUUAUGUCAACCAGUGUCCUCUGAAUAGUGCCAAGACGACAAAUGAGUGGACUUGUUUUGCCACCCUUGGAACAACAAGCAUGUUCCAGUCUGCCAUGGAUUGGUGAAGUUCAAUAGGAUCUGCGUCUUGAGCUUAUUUUUACCGCUGCUCUUCUGGACAAGAAACAGCAGAAAAAAGAGUGGAGGCUAUGGGCCUAGAGAGUGGAGAAUGUGUGGGGAGCGGUUGUUGGAUCCAAGGACUUGUCCAGAAAUGAAGCUCGUGAGUGUGGAGUUUUGAUCCGAGGAUUCAGAGAUGAAGACGGUACUACCCUUGAAGAAUUUACAAUCUAGUAAGAGAGAGAAGAUGGCUACCUAAGUUGGCAACAAUAAGCGUUUCUGAACUGACAC